GCACUGAGCGAAACAGAUUGUCCAGAAGUUUCCAUAACAAUUAUCAUCACUAUUCAGUUUAAAUUAACACGACCCAUACCGUGUCCCAAAUAACAAACAGAUUAUUACAGAUAACAACUAGUCAAAUAUUCUGUUCCGACAACUCAGAUUUAAAUAAAACAAAUAAAUAUUGUUCAAAUGCUCCUAAAGACCCAGCCUGACAAGAUCUACAGACAACUAUGCUCUAGUUGGUCUUUCCUGAUAGACAACUAUUUGUUGGGGGAAAGCAUUGAUAAAUUGAUAAAAUCGGCAUUGAUCAAGUAAUUUGGUCGGGAGUUUGCGGUUUUCACACCUAAUCCUGACCAAACCGCUUGAUUUUAUUCGAAAUUCGAGUGCAGUGAUAGCGAAGAAUAUCGGAAUAUAGCACACCUAAGCUUGGUCUGUUGGUUCCUAACUAUAGCCUAGGUCUCUAAGACAGCGACCCGGACUAGGUCGUGCCCUGCCUAAUUCCCUAUAGUUAUGGCUCUGAUACCAAUUUGUCAUACCCCAAGUGAUGGCGGAAUCAUCGGGGCAUGGCACUGAGCGAAACAGAUUGUCCA
rnacentral:lncRNA from 1 species